AACUUCCACAACAGAAAAUUUUAUGUUAUUUGCCUACUACCAAUGCAGUUUAACUGAUUUUACAUUGACUGAACAAGGUUGAUUUUAUUUAGGUCUAGUGAAAAUACUGAAGAAGUAUGACAAGAGAACAUGAUCACUUGUCAGGCAGCCCUUCAUCGAAAAUGUGCUGCAGUAGCCAUUCUUUACAACUGAUCUCCUAUAUAUACAAACUCGUGAAGGAGUGUGUGGCUAUGCUCGACCACCUCUUCCCCGGUAACAACCUGUCAAUUUCAGCAGAAUGCGACGGACAAAAUGGAGUGCCAAAGCCGGCACAAUCAGGUGGGAGGGUUCCGGAGUUGGAGGAGAUUAAAUAUAUGUAGAGCUUAUACAUGAAGAGCACCGUAGCAGCGCUGUGGUCCUUGAAACAGAUUAGGAGCAAAAGUUCAACAGUCAAAACAGAUUAGAAAAUCUCGUGUUAUAUUGUUCUACCUUUGUUUUAAUAGUGUUAUCAUUUUGUUGGUUGCUUA